rnacentral:rRNA from 1 species
GACGAACGCUGGCGGCGUGCUUAACACAUGCAAGUCGAACGGAAAGGCCCUGCUUUUGUGGGGUGCUCGGGUGGCGAACGGGUGAGUAACACGUGAGUAACCUGCCCUUGACUUUGGGGUAACUUCAGGAAACUGGGGCUAAUCUCGGAUAGGAGCUCCUGCUGCAUGGUGGGGGUUGGAAAGUUUCGGCGGGUGGGGAUGGACGCGCGGCUUAUCAGCUUGUUGGUGGGGUAGUGGCUUACCAAGGCAUUGACGGGUAGCCGGCCUGAGAGGGUGACCGGCCACCUUGGGACUGAGAUACGGCGCAGACUCCUACGGGAGGCAGCAGGGGGGAAUAUUACACAAUGGGCGGAAGCCUGAGACAGAAACGCCGCGUGCGGGAUGACGGCCUUCGGGUUGUAAACCGCUUUCGCCUGAGACGAAGCGUGAGUGACGGUAAUGGGUAAAGAAGCACCGGCUAACUACGUG